UAAAAAAACACAACAAACUACUUCUGAAACUCUCCCUCUAAACAUAGCCUGACUCUGUGAAAAUGUACUUCCCAUGUUUUAUUCUAACUUUUUCAGCUUUCAAGCCUCCUCUUGAACUUUUCUGUACAAGUGUCCCCACUCUGCUGUGGGCAAAAUUCCUCAAGGCCUUUUAUAAUUUCCCCCAACCCCAAAUCAACUUUCACCUCCUUGGAGUUCUCACUAGUGAUGUUGCUGAAGUUGCUUCGGCCCUCCGGGUUUCUCGYGGACUCCAGCGCCGGCUGCACACAGUUCACCGAGCAGGCAACCUCUGACUGGCACAGGCUGACACUGCGAACGCUGGGGAACCUCCGGCGCGAUUCUGUCUCGUGCMGAGCUCCGGCACUGCCAGGACCAGACCAAAGGCCCGGAGCCCUGCGGGGAGGCAAGCUGUGGGGAGCGGCAGAGCCCGGAGGCCCGCGGAGCCGGAGCUACCUGCCUCACGAGCAAACGGCGCCCCCAGCCGCGGGGCAGGCGCCGCGCGGCCCUUCCAGAAAGCCUUGCAGACACGUGGGGCGCGCCCGGUCCUACCUGCAGGAACUGCCUGCUCUCCAGGAGCCCUCAGCGACGGCCGGGGCAUGCGUGCCAGGCAGGGCGGCGAGGGCGGGCCCUGAGGGCUCGGGACCCUGUCGGUUCGGAAGCGUCGACAGUUCCCCGUGCCACGGGGCAGGCAGCCGCCCUUCCCGAGCGCCGUGAGCGCGGGCGCGCGGCCGUGGGGCACAUCAACGCGAGGGAGGGGAGUGGCUACACGUCAUUUCCGCUUCCCGCCGCGCGYGGCUCAGGGACCACAACCGAGACGCUGCGGGUGGGCGUCUUCUCCUACGAAGGCCUGGCGGGUGUGCGCGGCUUUCGGCCGCCUGCGCGCCUGCAUCGGGGCGGGCGGAGCGCCGCGAUCCGUAGGGCGGAGGUGGCUCGCUUGAGCCUGGGGCAGCUGGAAGCGGAGCCGAGCGAGGAAGAAGAUACUUACAUUGAUUUUUAUACCAGAGCAGACGGGCCUAAUUUAUCAAAGGUGGCACCAGCAGGGUGCCAAACACAGGAGC
ensembl:lncRNA